UUUUAGAUGACUUUCCCCUUAAGAUGCAUUAGAAGAAGACACAAAUGACAAUGUCCCAGCACAACUCUAGGCUGUGUAAGGGCUAUUUUAACAAGAAGGAGAGUGAUGGACUGCUGCAUCAGAUGACCUGGCCUCCACAAUCACCUGAUCUCAACUCAAUUGAGAUGGUUUGGGAGGAGUUGGAUCGCAGAGUGAAGGAAAGCAGCCCACAAGUGCUCAGCAUAUGUUGGAACUCCUUCCUUGGAUAAGCAUUCCAGGUGAAGCUGGUUGAGAGAAUGCCGAGAGUAUGCCACGCUGUCAUCAAGGCAAAGGGUGGCUACUUUGAAGAAUCUAAAAUCUAUUAUGAUUCUUUUAACAAUGUGUUUGGUUACUACAUGAUUCCAUGUGUUAUUUCAUAGUGUUGAUGUCUUCACUAUUAUUAUACAAUGUAAAAAUAAAAACUAGAAUUUAUAUAUAUA